AUUGAACGCUGGCGGCAGGCCUAACACAUGCAAGUCGGACGGUAGCACAGGGGAGCUUGCUCCCCGGGUGACGAGUGGCGGACGGGUGAGUAAUGUCUGGGAAACUGCCUGAUGGAGGGGGAUAACUACUGGAAACGGUAGCUAAUACCGCAUAACGUCGCAAGACCAAAGAGGGGGACCUUCGGGCCUCUUGCCAUCAGAUGUGCCCAGAUGGGAUUAGCUAGUAGGUGGGGUAACGGCUCACCUAGGCGACGAUCCCUAGCUGGUCUGAGAGGAUGACCAGCCACACUGGAACUGAGACACGGUCCAGACUCCUACGGGAGGCAGCAGUGGGGAAUAUUGCACAAUGGGCGCAAGCCUGAUGCAGCCAUGCCGCGUGUAUGAAGAAGGCCUUCGGGUUGUAAAGUACUUUCAGCGGGGAGGAAGGUGUUGUGGUUAAUAACCACAGCAAUUGACGUUACCCGCAGAAGAAGCACCGGCUAACUCCGUGCCAGCCGCCGCCGUAAGAC
rnacentral:rRNA from 1 species